AACGAACGCUGGCGGCAGGCUUAACACAUGCAAGUCGAGCGCCCCGCAAGGGGAGCGGCAGACGGGUGAGUAACGCGUGGGAACGUACCCUUUGCUACGGAAUAGCUCCGGGAAACUGGAAUUAAUACCGUAUGUGCCCUACGGGGGAAAGAUUUAUCGGCAAAGGAUCGGCCCGAGUUGGAUUAGCUAGUUGGUGGGGUAAUGGGCUACCAAGGCGACGAUACAUAGCUGGUCUGAGAGGAUGAUCAGCCACAUUGGGACUGAGACACGGUCCAAACUCCUACGGGAGGCAGCAGUGGGGAAUAUUGGACAAUGGGCGCAAGCCUGAUCCAGCCAUGCCGCGUGAGUGAUGAAGGCCUUAGGGUUGUAAAGCUCUUUCACCGGAGAAGAUAAUGACGGUAUCCGGAGAAGAAGCCCCGGCUAACUUCGUGCCAGCCGCCGCGGUAAUAC
rnacentral:rRNA from 1 species